AAAUCAAAUGCUUUGUAAAAUUGAUUAUGACGUCAUAAAACUGAAUGAAGGUUAAUUAAAAACUAAUGAAAGCCUAGACCAGAACUUUAAAAAAGUUGAUUGUUGUAAACUUGUUUGCGGUUGUUUGACAUUGGUCAGACAAAAAGUUACAGAAAUACAUUUGUGUAAGCGUGCAGCAGGACUCUCGAAUUGCUCAUUAAUAAAGAACUGGCGUUUCGUUGCUGUGCCAUUGUCACUUUUCACAAUCAUGGAUUUGCAACAUGCAGGAUGGGUCAAUGCGAAAGAGAGAUUUGAAGAUCAUUGAAUGCGGACAACUAAGAUUAUGAAAGCCAAACCAAUCAGGGAGGAAAAGUGUACUCGCGUUUGAUGAAUGCCUUUACAGAUGAAUACAGAAGAUGAUACAGACGUGUUCAGCGAUUACUUGAUUUAUUUUGGCAGUGACCCUGAUGAUCAAGAAGUUGUCAGAAAAGUGAAAGUGCUCAUAUCCAAUUAUAAUUAUGUGCGUGACAUAAUGAAGCUUUGUCUACUUGAAACUCUUUUAGUACAUUUACGCACAAACUACACACUAUAUAUAUAGCAUCCACACCACACACACACAGUUACACAUACUUAACAUACAUUCUCACUAUAGAAAUAUUAGGUGUAUAAUUCGAAUUAUCUCUGAGGGGAUGGAUGCUGGUUUUUGGUUCUAUCCUUUUUUUGAUUUUUUUGCAUUGACAAUUUGGUCAUCUUCAUAGGUUUUGUUUCUGUAUUUAUUCCUUCAAUUGUUUUUGGAAGUUGAGCAAACAUUUCUUGUUUUUUUUAACAUCAUUUUCUAUGUUAUCCAUAAAACAUUUCAUAUAAUUUACGGGGCUGGUAUGUACGAAAUGUUUGAUUGCCCCUUUUAUGGAACCUUAAGCCCCUUCAUUUAGGCACUGUCAAAUUAGUCUCGCUUUAUAUUCGUCCUUCUCUUUACUGUGAUGUAAUAAGUGACUUAUCACCCCACCCCCACGCUUUACGGCCUUCAAUAAAUUUAGUUGCCACGAGGUAGAUGCUCGUUGCACAAUGCUGAUCAAAGAGUUUGCUGUGCAAUUGUAUAUUUUAUUAAUGAUGGGUUUUCCUAUUCCGUGUUUGACUUAUGCCAUACUUUGCAAAAUGAAUAUAAAGAGAGAAUUUUAUAAUUAGAAUAUUGUUAGGUUUAUUCAUAUAUUAUCCGAAUAGGUUUUGAGGAUUGCUGUAAUUUAUGCAAUGUUAAAUUUAUCAUUGUCUUAUUUUGUAUCAUUGCGUAGAGAUAGCAUACUCGCGGCUGUUCUUUGAGUCCUUG